GACUAUUUAGCCUAGAAUGAAAGGCGAUUGUUUUGAAAAUAAUUCAUAGGAGUUUUCUUAUUAGUUU
rnacentral:tRNA from 1 species